GACGAACGCUGGCGGCGUGCUUAAUACAUGCAAGUCGAACGGAAAGGCCCUGCUUUUGUUGGGUGCUCGAGUGGCGAACAGGUGUGUAACACGUGUGUAACCUGCCCCUGACUUUGGGAUAACUUUAGGAAACUGGGGCUCAUACCGGAUAGGAUAUCCUGCUGCAUGGUGGGGGUUGGAAAGUGUCGGCGGUGUGGGAUGGACUCGCGGCUUAUCAGCUUGUUUGUGAGGUAGUGGCUUUCCAAGGUUUAGACGGCUAGCCGGCCUGGGAGGGUAGCCGGCGUCAUUGCUACUGAGAUACGGACCAGACUCAUACGGGAGGCAGCGGUCGAAAGUCUUACACAAUGGGCGGAAGCGCGUUACAGAGAUGCUGCGUUCGUGAGAAUGGCUUUUGGGGUGAGAACCAAUUUCGACUUAGACGUGCAGUUAGUGACGGUAAUGGGUCACAAAGCACCGGCUAACUACGUG
rnacentral:rRNA from 1 species